rnacentral:rRNA from 1 species
UGGGGAAUAUUGCACAAUGGGCGCAAGCCUGAUGCAGCGAUGCCGCGUGUAUGAAGAAGGCCUUCGGGUUGUAAAGUACUUUCAGUCGGGAGGAAGGUGAUAAGGUUAAUAACCUUAUCAAUUGAGGCUACCGACAUAAGAAGCACCGGCUAACGCCGUGCCAGCAGCCGCGGUAAUACGGAGGGUGCAAGCGUUACUCGGAAUUACUGGGCGUAAAGCGCACGCAGGCGGUUGAUUGAGUCAGAUGUGAAAUCCCCGGGCUUAACCCGGGAAUUGCAUUUGAUACUGGUCAGCUAGAGUCUUUUAGAGGUGAGUAGAAUUCCAUGUGUAGCGGUGAAAUGCGUAGAGAUGUGGAGGAAUACCAGUGGCGAAGGCGACCCCCUGGACAAAGACUGACGCUCAGGUGCGAAAGCGUGGGGAGCAAACAGG